UGGGGACUUAGAGAAGUGUCCUUUU
rnacentral:piRNA from 1 species